ensembl:lncRNA
GCUGAACUAUGACAGCGGUGAAGCUCACGAACCGUUUCAGCACAGCCUCCCCUGAACGCGCCGGGAGCGCUGCCUGUGCUGCCCAAAGACAGACGGCAAGAAAGCCCGAGCUCACCGCCGCCACCCGCGAGGUGAGGAGGUGCGGGGCGGACCCGACGGCUCCGCGUGAGGCGCUGCCAUGGCGGCCUGCCCGCCGGGAGCCGUUACCAGGGCAACGCGCGUGAGGGGCGCGAGUUCAAAACAGUGACAAAUCCGGUGUCCUCAGAAAACCUGUGCCCAAACAGACAGAGUAGGAGGACACCUCCCCAAGUGACCACUGAAGACCCCCACGCAAGUACGGAAGACUCAGGCAACAGAUUUGAAGGAGGAGGUGGAAUACAGAGCUUUGAUGAUGCCUUCUACAUUGACUGAUUCCUCCAGACAGACAUGUGGCAGUUAUGAUGGACAGGAACAUGUAAAUCUUCACUGAGUAUGAAUUAACAAUUAGAAAAUAAAGGAGUGAAACAAACAAGAGGAGAAGACAAAAAUGUAAGAAAAAUGAUACUGAUGUUAGUAGAAUUUAUUUCUGUAUUAUAUGUUGCCAUCAGGAGCAGUGAGGUGACUUCCCCAUUUGGGCCCCUCACUACCAGAAAUAUACAUUGCGGCCCUGGAGCAUGUCCAGAGAAAGGCAAUAAAACUGGUGAAGGGUCUGGAGCACAAGUCUUAUGAGGAACAACUGAGGGAACUGGGGUAGUUUAAUUCGGAGAAGAGGAGGCUCAGGGGAGACUUUAUAGGUCUUUACAGCUACCUGAAAGGAGGUUCUGGCAGGGUUGAAGUUAGCCUCUUCUCCCACAUAAUCAGCGGCAAGAUGAGAGGGAGUGGCCUCAAUUUGCACCAGGGGAGGUUCAGGUUGGAUAUUGGGAAAAACUUCUCCAAAAGAGUGGUCAGGUGCUGGAACAGGAUGUCCGGGAAGGUGGUGGAGUCACUGUCCUGGGGGUGUUCAAGAAAUGUUUAGAUGUUGUACUAAGGGACAUGGUUUAGUGGGGAAAUGGUGGUGGUAGGUGGAUGGUUGGAUUUGAUGAUCUUUGUCUUUUGAAAAAAUGCGUCAAGGGUGUAUUGUGAAAACUAAAUGUCAUGCACUAAGAAUGUACUGAAUUACAGCAGUCAGGAAGCCUACUGGGGUUUGUAGUCUCUGUAUUAGAACUGCCUGGUGCAGCCCAUCCCCAUCUGAUGUGAAAGAAGUUUCCCCAGUACACCACCUUCCUAUGACCAUGGCAGCUCACUCAGACCCAAAAAAUUAAAUAUACAUGAUAUCCAUAUCACUUAACAGAAAUCAGUUCCACAAGUUCAUAACGUAUCUUUUCUAUUUUAUUGAGUUUGUUUAUACUCUAGGUAUUAAAUUGGAGUCUCUGUUUAUCUCACAAGAUAGACCAAUUUUGAGCUUUUUCCAUUACUGUUAAAUUGCACAACGGGAAAGAAAUUUCUCAUUCUUUUAUUAAAAUCUGCACAUGGCAAUCUGAAUUCCUGGCACUAGAAAUAUUCUACAGAUCUUUUGUUUAGCAUUUUAGAAUUGCCAUUUUAGUAUAAACUUUGCUGCUACCUGUGAGGAAGAUAUUUUCAAGGAGCGGUGGCUGAGGAGCCAUGCCAGAAACAAGCAUCUAGGCUGACUGCCAUGGUUCUGAAAGCAAAUUUGUGAGGCCUCAGAUUUAGAGCUCCCUCACCCCUCAAUUCUUUUGUUGUAAAAGCUUUCCCAAAUUUUUCAGACAUUAGAUUUUUACUUUAAAGUACAAAGCACUGUGGCAAUAUAUUUUUUUUUUUUAAUAAUUAUGAGCCCACUUUAUAGCAUUUCUGAAGUGUAGGAUUUUAUUCCUGGUUUUUAGUAUGUGAUAAACUUCCCUGUCUUUCUGUUACAUUUAUCACUACUACCAGCACCAGUUGGUCAAACUGUGGUCUGCUGCAUUAGAAAAGAGCAUACUCUUUUAUCAGAUUUAUGGAAAAGAAUAAAUUUGUCUAUAAAGAGGCUGAGCUGAAGCUGAGAGUACAUUUAAUAUUAUCGUUUUUAUAGUCAACUGUGCUGCUGAAAGCAACAUUGUUCAUAGGUUCUGCUUCUGCAUGUGCCCUCCCUAGCUAUUUAAUAUUUGAUAAUGCAAUGCAGUUUUACAUAAAGGUGUAUAUUUCCCCUGCUCCAGACUUAAACUGUGUAUCGAUAUACUGAUUUGCUAAUAUGCAAUUCUGAUUUUGUAAAUGAUGUCGUAGGCUUCAUGGUAGUGAGACAGCAGGCCUGUGGUACUUAACUGUUUUAUCUGACAGCAGCACUAACAGUGAAACACUUCAGGAAUAAACAAGCUAUGGAUUCCUGAUUCAGAAAGACAACGUCUCAUGAAGUGAACUUUAGACUUACUCAAGAGCUUCUUGUUUCAAUCUACAUCACC